rnacentral:ncRNA from 2 species
CGUACGAUGCUCCCGGACGGUCCCGGUGGGCCGUCCACGCCAGCGACGGCGCCAAGGGGAGGAAACCGGUGCAAACCCGGUGCGGUCCCGCCACUGUGACCACGGUUCACGCCGUGGGAGCCAGGAACUCCUGCCGUCCUCCAUGCUUCCCC